UCAACCCGAAUUGCGCCCUGGGGGGUGAAAAAUUAAUCGCCUUUUGAUGAGCUCGCGUCUGAUUAGCUAGUUGGUUGUGGUAAGAGCGCGCCAAGGCGACGAUCAGUAGCUGGUCUGAGAGGAUGACCAGUCACACUGGGACUGAGACACGGCCCAGACUCCUACGGGAGGCAGCAGUGGGGAAUUUUCCGCAAUGGGCGAAAGCCUGACGGAGCAAUACCGCGUGAGGGAGGAAGGCUCUUGGGUUGUAAACCUCUUUUCUCAGGGAAUAAGAAAGUGAAGGUACCUGAGGAAUCAGCAUCGGCUAACUCCGUGCCAGCAGCCGCGGUAAUACGGAGGAUGCAAGCGUUAUCCGGAAUGAUUGGGCGUAAAGCGUCCGCAGGUGGUUGCUCAAGUCUGCUGUCAAAGAGUCUGGCUCAACCAGAUAAAGGCAGUGGAAACUGAGAGACUAGAGUGCGGUAGGGGCAGAGGGAAUUCCUGGUGUAGCGGUGAAAUGCGUAGAGAUCAGGAAGAACACCGGUGGCGAAAGCGCUCUGCUGGACCGCAACUGACACUGAGGGACGAAAGCUAGGGGAGCGAAUGGGAUUAGAUACCCCAGUAGUCA
rnacentral:rRNA from 1 species